UGGGGAAUUUUGGACAAUGGGGGCAACCCUGAUCCAGCCAUCCCGCGUGUGCGAUGAAGGCCUUCGGGUUGUAAAGCACUUUUGUCCGGAAAGAAAUCCUCUGGGUUAAUACCUCGGGGGGAUGACGGUACCGGAAGAAUAAGCACCGGCUAACUACGUGCCAGCAGCCGCGGUAAUACGUAGGGUGCAAGCGUUAAUCGGAAUUACUGGGCGUAAAGCGUGCGCAGGCGGUUUUGUAAGACGGAUGUGAAAUCCCCGGGCUUAACCUGGGAACUGCAUUCGUGACUGCAAGGCUAGAGUAUGGCAGAGGGGGGUAGAAUUCCACGUGUAGCAGUGAAAUGCGUAGAGAUGUGGAGGAAUACCGAUGGCGAAGGCAGCCCCCUGGGCCAAUACUGACGCUCAUGCACGAAAGCGUGGGGAGCAAACAGGAUUAGAUACCCUGGUAGUCCACGCCCUAAAACGAUGUCAACUAGUUGUUGGGGAUUCAUUUCCUUAGUAACGUAGCUAACGCGUGAAGUUGACCGCCUGGGGAGUACGGUCGC
rnacentral:rRNA from 1 species